CUAAGGAAUAUUUCCGGCAAUGGACGAAAGUCUGACGGAGCGACGCCGCGUGGAUGAUGAAGGCCGGAAGGUUGUAAAAUCCUUUUAUGACUGAGGAAUAAGUGAAGUGAGGGAAACGCUUCAUGGUGACUGUAGGUCAUGAAUAAGCAUCGGCUAACUCCGUGCCAGCAGCCGCGGUAAUACGGAGGGUGCGAGCGUUAUCCGGAUUUAUUGGGUUUAAAGGGUGCGCAGGCGGCGCGCCAAGUCAGCGGUCAAAGUUCCGGGCUCAACCCGGUGUCGCCGUUGAAACUGGUGUGCUCGAGUGCGUGCGAGGAAGGCGGAAUGCGUUGUGUAGCGGUGAAAUGCAUAGAUAUGACGCAGAACUCCGAUUGCGAAGGCAGCUUUCCAGCGCG
rnacentral:rRNA from 1 species